rnacentral:rRNA from 1 species
UGAGGCGGAGCUAAUCCCUUAAAGCCAUUCUCAGUUCGGAUUGUAGGCUGAAACUCGCCUACAUGAAGCUGGAGUUACUAGUAAUCGCAGAUCAGAAUGCUGCGGUGAAUGCGUUCCCGGGUCUUGUACACACCGCCCGUCACACCACGGAAGUUGGGGGCGCCCGAAGCCACUUAGCUAACCCUUUUGGGAAGCGAGUGUCGAAGGUGAAAUCAAUAACUGGGGUGAAGUCGUAACAAGGUACC